rnacentral:rRNA from 1 species
UACGGAGGAUCCAAGCGUUAUCCGGAAUCAUUGGGUUUAAAGGGUCCGUAGGCGGUUUUGUAAGUCAGUGGUGAAAGCCCAUCGCUCAACGGUGGAACGGCCAUUGAUACUGCAAGACUUGAAUUAUUAGGAAGUAACUAGAAUAUGUAGUGUAGCGGUGAAAUGCUUAGAGAUUACAUGGAAUACCAAUUGCGAAGGCAGGUUACUGCUAAUUGAUUGACGCUGAUGGACGAAAGCGUGGGGAGCGAACAGG